CUGGUACUGCAAGAACAUCAACAGAGCUGAAGCAGAACAUUUGCUUAGACAAGAGGGGAAGGACGGAGGGUUUGUGGUCAGGAGCUCCAGUCAGCCCAGCAGCUACACCGUCUCCGUUUACACACACAGUUCAGGUAAAGGGGAGGUGAGGCACUAC